AUUGAACGCUGGCGGCAUGCCUUACACAUGCAAGUCGAACGGCAGCACGGGGGCAACCCUGGUGGCGAGUGGCGAACGGGUGAGUAAUAUAUCGGAACGUGCCCUAGAGUGGGGGAUAACGUAGCGAAAGUUACGCUAAUACCGCAUACGAUCUAUGGAUGAAAGUGGGGGAUUCGCAAGAACCUCAUGCUCGUGGAGCGGCCGAUAUCUGAUUAGCUAGUUGGAGGGUAAAAGCCUACCAAGGCAUCGAUCAGUAGCUGGUCUGAGAGGACGACCAGCCACACUGGGACUGAGACACGGGCCCGACUCCUACGGGAGGCAGCAGUAAGGAAUAUUGGUCAAUGGACGCAAGUCUGAACCAGCCAUGCCGCGUGAAGGAUUAAGGUCCUCUGGAUUGUAAACUUCUUUUAUCUGGGACGAAAAAGGGAUUCUUUCUCNCUUGACGGUACCAGAUGAAUAAGCACCGGCUAACUCCGUGCCAG
rnacentral:rRNA from 1 species